GGAAAAGACAGCUUUAGCUUGGUCAUUCCUUCAGGCUGGGAGUUGCAAAACCUUGUCUGCUCCCUUGCUUGACUCAUGCUGUAGGGUGCCCUAGAUAAUAUCAAAAAGCCAAACAAGCAUGUACAUAUGUAUAUGUGGCCCCCUGUGCAGGAGCCACAAGCAUCCACCCUAGCACAAACAAAAAAAUAAGGAGGGCAUUAUUAAUCCAGGAGGUUGAGAACUUGUAACAAAAAAAAAAAAAAAAAAAAAAACACCACAACAAAAAAAGAAGAAAGAGGACAAAUAAAAGCAAGGGGCUUUCUCCAAAACCCAAUGUCCCCACCCAGAACCACCUCACAGCUCUGCAGGGGGCUAACGAAGGAACACCCAUCACACCAGAGGAACAAGCAGUUGCCGCACCAAUAAAGAGGAUAACUGCUAGUGCACCCAGGAAAAAGCCGUGAGUCAUACUAGACAUCUGGAAAAUACUGACUGGAAAAUUAAGAUGAGAUUAAUAUUCCUUCUGAUGUUUUUAUCCUCUUCAUGCCUCAUCAUCACGCUCACUGUACCAUGAGAUCAACAAGAUUAGAUAUCUUUGAAACCUGCUCUCCAGCAGAAUGUGAUAUUCAGGAUGAGAGAUCCUCUUGAGACUCUUGGAAAGACUGGCAAUGUUUCUUUGAGGCUCAGAAACAUUAGCAGAAGAUUCACCUGGGUAACAGGACCUCCUCAGAAGCUCCCACUCCAUGCCAUGGUGUUUUCUCCCUUUCUGGUCAAGUCAUCCCCACAAGCUUCUGCAGAAAAACGCUACAGAUUAUAACCAACAUGAGCAGAAAAUGGUCUUUAGAGAGUGGUGACAGCAAAAGAGCAUUAAAUUUGGACUAUUGGUAGUGGUGAGAAUCAGUGCUGAAGCAGCUGUACCUCUUCUGUGUGCUUCAUGCUGCCAUUUGAAGAGAUCACAGAUAUCGUGAAGUGAAACACAUGGAAUGACACUUAUGGCUGAUGAGGAAGUGCCUGCUACAGGGACAGGCCAUGUUCUAUUUUACUGCUCCAAGUUGUUUGUUUUCAGAGAAGGGUGGCAAAAGUCUGCUGCCUUUGUUGACCCAGCCUCCACAUGUUCUUCAAAGCUCUACCACCACUGCUGUAAUGCUGAAAGGCUUUUAAGUUAGCUUACUUAGAUUUUUUUUUUUUCCAUGCUGUCUCUGCACUACAGAAGUCUAGUAAGUUAUAUGUCCCAUAGCCAGUUAUUCCUUUAUAUGACAAAGGCUAAGCAGGAAAUAUUUACUGUGACUGAAGAAAAAAAAAAAAAGAGAGUAAAAUAUCAGGGGUAUGUAUGUGUAUGGAAUUUAUGUAAUUUUUCACAGAUAUGACUUACCAUUUUCCUACCACAAGGGAGCUCAGAGCUGUAGAUGGAGGCAAACAGCAUGCCUUAAUGUGAGAGAGAAAUUCUGCUAGCACUUUGCCAGAAUAAUGGGCAAAAUUAUGCAUUUGUGUCCCUUGGAAAGGCUGGCAUUGCAAAGGGCCUUUUCAUCCCAAGUGAGCACCUGAAUAAAAUUUUUGACAACUUUCAUGAAGCAAAUGCACAGUGUUUUGGGGAAGGUUUUUGUUUUUCUUUGAUGUAGUUGCAAAAAUUUCACCUUUACUCCAUUGUCACAUAAUAUAACACGUUUGUGAAUCACUUUCUAUCCUU